rnacentral:ncRNA from 5 species
UAGGGGAACCUGCGGAAGGAUCAUUA